rnacentral:pre_miRNA from 1 species
AGUGGAACUGCUGGGUCAUAUGGCAACUCUAUGUUUCGCCUUUUGAGGAACUGCCAGACUGUUUCCCAAACCAGCUGCACUAUUUAACAUUCCCGUCAACAGC